ACCCAGGGUGCGGUUUCCCAACUGCUUUGACCCACGGAACCACACUCUGCACUCAGCUAAAAAUAUAACUUCUUUUCUCAAAUAUUUUUACAUACCAGCAUGUUUUCUUUUAUAUCCUUUAUCAGUUUGCUAAACUUGCUGCUACUGCCUGUACCUUAAGAGUUAAUCUUUCUUGGCUCAAAUCUCACUACCUUCCUAGGUAGCUUUUCAACAUCCCAUACUCCUUUUUCCCUGCCUCUCCUCACUUUGACUCUUUCUCUGUGUUAAAAGUUAUAGUUUUUACAGAAACCUCCAAAAGAUAAAGCAAUUGAAAACAGAACAAAACAAGAAACGAAAAGAAAACAAGGCCCCAUGAGGAAACCUGCUUGUGAACACUGCAGGAACAUCAAAAGCACCAUGAGAUUGUCAUCUUCAUACAGAGGACCUUGAUUGCAAAGACGAUAAUGUGAUGGAACCAGAAGUACUUGCAGUUGUAGUUUGGUCAAGAAGCAGGAUGCUGGUGACAAAAGGGCAUAUUGACAAACAAGGAGAGAGAUUAAGCAGAUGGGGGACCAUAUGAAGUGGUUGGAAAAGCCCCCAGAAGCAGACUGAUAACAGUCAGCACCGUGACAGCAAAGAGAGAGUAAAAAGACACACAGAUUUGUUUUUUUAAACAUGCAUAAGUAGGUGACAUUUUUGCCUGUGCAGACAGUGAAGAUUGAAUGCCACACUGUUGUUUUUGAGCAGGCAGAAAUAAAACGUGGGUUAUCAUGCAAAUAUGCUCAUCAACAGUCUUGGUGUAAUCAUCAAAUUUGUCAAACUUUUAAAGAAAAUAAUGACUGCCUUAAAAGUGGCAAUGUGAGCUAGCAGAUACAGAUUAAACUGAAGUGUUAAAAGCCUAAGGCAUCCAUGUAACACAGGCAGAAUAUCUACCUAUCCAGGUAAAUGGGACCAGAGUAAUGACCCAAUGAAAACACAAUAAAAAAGUAAAUUCCAAUGACUGAACCAAAUUCACCCACUUACAACGAUGAGGUGACACGUAAACUUAUGCUGUCAUUUAUGUUACCUCUGAAUUUGGCCUUAAAAAUCUAUAAUCAUCAUCCAGUUCCCUAGCAUAUGCCUGCAUUCCACAAAGACAUAACAAAAUGCAAAUUCUCAACAGCGAGGAUAAUUAACCAUUGGAUCAGUUUAGCAAGGGAUGUGGUAUGUGCUCCAUUAUUUGGAGUCUUUAAAUCAAGACUGGAUGACUUUCUACAAUAGAAUGUUCUAGCUCAACCAAGAAUGAUUGGUCAUAAUGCAGGUCUCUUAAUGGGUGACAUUUUAUCACCUGUGUUAUGUAUGAGUCAGACUAGAUGGUCAUAAUGGUCUCUUCUAGCCUGACAAUCUAUGAAAGACCUUGCAGGACAAGACAGUGACUAGAGAUAAUACAAAUCAACAGUAGCAUUUAAAUCACUCUGCUUUUGAUAUGUGAUCAAAGACUGGAAAUCACCUACAGGAAUACACUAAAUAUUCAGACAAGCAGCAUCCCCCCCUCCUUUUUUUUAAUUUGCUAAUGCAACAUUUAUACAAGAACUGCCAAUUGACAAAGUCAAAAGCAUCUGAAGCUUGGUGACUAUCAAACUUCUGAGACCUCUUAACACUCUAGACAUCAUCAGACACUGUGAAAAAUGCUGAAGACAGGAUAAUGUGACCCUGAACUGAGAAGAUUAAUAACCGGUGAAUAGCUAAACUAACAUGUGAUAGUUGGCUAUGCUAAUUUCUACAGCUAUCCUAAUGGAUUGUUUGAAUAGUUUAUGGGGCAUGGCCAAAAUUCAUUUUAGUAAGGAACGGGGAAAGGUCAGAGCAAAGGUGAACGGUUAAACAAAAUCUUCUGUUUUACAAUAUCACAGCAUCCACCUGCAUUGCUUUCACUUAUAUGCUGUCAAUCUUACAGGAAGGCAACAGCACAGAAUGGUCCACAUAUCAUAAAUGAGACUCAGGAUUGCUCUUUUCAUACACCAGUAUAUGUUUCCAUGUUUUCUGUACAAUGAACCAUUGUACAUGUGUGCUCUCAAGCAA